rnacentral:rRNA from 1 species
CGGUGAAUACGUUCCCGGACCUUGUACACACCGCCCGUCAAGCCAUGGAAGCUGGGUGUACCUAAAGUCGAUAACUGUAAGGAGUCGCCUAGGGUAAAACUAGUAACUGGGCU